GAGAUUUCAACAGUGACAUGUUACAUGACUAUUCAUUCGCAUUGCACCGGGUGAGCUUGAAUUUCAGAGAUGACCUCAGGAAUGUUCUUGGACCAGACAACUUAACCCAAGAAGCUGAAGCUGAUAAAUUAGAACAUUGUUUGCUCAUAAACGGACCAUUCCUUCAAGUUCUAUUUCAUGAUGCCUACUCUGGUUAAUAAACUGUGCUUGGUCCAUAUAAGUUGUCCUUUACCACAUAACCAGACCUGGACUCAACAAAGACACAAGAUUCUGGGUGUGACAUUUGCGGGAAGAAUUACCUGAAGAAAAAAAAGCUCUUCCCCUACACUGAGUAAUACUUUUCAAUACAGUGCUGAAAUAAAGAGGCCC